rnacentral:rRNA from 1 species
GCAUAUCAAUAAGCGGAGGAAAAGAAACCAACCGGGAUUGCCUUAGUAACGGCGAGUGAAGCGGCAAAAGCUCAAAUUUGAAAUCUGGCACCUUCGGUGUCCGAGUUGUAAUUUGAAGAAGCAACUUUGGGGCUAGUCCUUGUCUAUGUUCCUUGGAACAGGACGUCAUGGAGGGUGAGAAUCCCGUUUGGCGAGGAGUCUAGUCCUAUGUAAAGUGCUUUCGACGAGUCGAGUUGUUUGGGAAUGCAGCUCUAAGUGGGUGGUAAAUUCCAUCUAAAGCUAAAUAUUGGCGAGAGACCGAUAGCGAACAAGUACAGUGAUGGAAAGAUGAAAAGAACUUUGAAAAGAGAGUGAAAAAGUACGUGAAAUUGUUGAAAGGGAAGGGCAUUUGAUCAGACAUGGUGUUUUGCGACCCUCGCUCCUUGUGGGUGGGGAUCUCGCAGUUCACUGGGCCAACAUCAGUUUUGGCGGCAGGAUAAAUCUUUGGGAAUGUGGCUUUUCUUCGGAGAAGCGUUAUAGACCAGGGGAAUACUGCCAGCCGGGACUGAGGACUGCGACUUUUGUCAAGGAUGUUGGCAUAAUGGUUAUAUGCCGCCCGUCUUGAAACACGGACCAAGGAGUCUAACGUCUAUGCGAGUGUUUGGGUGUAAAACCCGUACGCUUAAUGAAAGUGAACGUACGUGAGGGCCUCUUGUAGGUGCAUCAUCGACCGAUCCUGAUGUCUUCGGAUGGAUUUGAGUAAGAGCAUAGCUGUU